UACGGGGGGGGCAAGCGUUGUUCGGAAUUACUGGGCGUAAAGUGUGCGCAGGCGGCCGCGCAAGUCGAGUGUGAAAGCCCCGAGCUUAACUUGGGAACUGCGCUCGAAACUACGUGGCUGGAGUGUGGCAGAGGAAGGUGGAAUUCCAGGUGUAGCGGUGAAAUGCGUAGAUAUCUGGAGGAAUACCGGUGGCGAAGGCGGCAUCCUGGACCGGCAUUGACGCUGAGGCAG
rnacentral:rRNA from 1 species